UUUGACCAGAAAUACAACGUUUGAAAGCACACUGGUCAUGUUUAUACAAGUUGUAUAAUACAACAUCUCUGAAUGUUACCCUGCUGAAACGAAGUUAGUAGCAGUGCUAUUCAGCUAGCCAAAACCACGCUUUCGCCCUUAAGCCAUGCGUUAUCGUUAUCACUUGUUGAUCAAAUUUUACGUUUCUCCAUUGUAAUCUGAAGCCAUCUAAAAGUAUUGGUAUGAGUAGGGUAUGCGUAGUUUUUUAAAGUUUAACUCGUGUGAUUUACCUGCUAUAACACUGUUUGCUAGCUAAGUCUGCUUAGCAUCAUCAGUUUAAUAAACCAGUGGCCAAAUAAACAAUAUGGCACAAACGGAUGUAGUGUAGUGUGACUACUGCUUUCAGUGUUUACUUGUAUUCAUGGAUUUCGCCCGUGCUGGUAAUUACUAAAAGUUGUGUUAAGUCCUUCAGUUGACAGUUUAGCAAGCUAAUGCUAGUUAGUAGCCUAGCUAGCUUUCCAUAGCAGAGUUGGUUGCAUGACACGUGUAUGGUAUUCCUCCUGAGUUCAUUUGAGCUAGCGGCAUGCAACAGGAAGAUGUUUACAUGUCAUAUAUGUGGGCAUCAGUCCACUGCGUCUAUUUAUGUGAGCCAUACCUAAAUUCAUGACAAUAUACCCAAUAUAGACCUUCCAUGCUGUGUUCCAGAUUGCCAAAUUAAAGAGACAUGCAGGUCUUGAAUUUCCCCUGGGGAUCAAUAAAGUAUCUAUCUAUCUAUCUAUCUAGGUCUUUAGACACACAUAUAUAGAAACCAUAAACAAUGUGGUUUUGAUAAGACAGACAAUUUCAAAAGCAAGCACCCUCACUUUGCACACACAUACACACAUUCCUCACACAAACAUCUUAUCACACCUGCCUCAUCACUUUUAAUCAUUCAACGGCAGACACACAUACACACACACACACACACACACCUUUCAUACUCACCUUGCAGACAACUCACAUUCAUUCACUCCUUACACACACACACACACACACAACACACUCACAGAGAUUACAUUCACUUUCUCACUCACACACACACACACACACACACACACAUCAUGAAGAGUUGUUCAGUGCCUUUCUUUUCUUUUGCUAAGGGAUGUGCGACUGUAGCUGAUGUUGAGUCUUCCAAGCCUACCUGUGACGCCUCGCCUGAUAUUACUAGGUGAACGACAAGGUAAUCAUCAAAAGUGGAUGGUCAGCAAUGAAUCCUUAAUCGUUUGUGAAGGGUCCAACCUCGCCACAUUUCUAACAGGGAUUGCGACAUGUUUCUCCACCUUCUAUAUUCUGAAUCUGCAAUAUCAGGAGGAGGCAGUGUGCACCCUUGAAUUCUUCCAGAGAAAAAGGCCCAGAAGAAGCCUAAGAACAAUCACUAAUAAGUAAAGUGAAUGUUACUUGAUUUCUCAUGAAUGUUACUUAAUUCCCUCCCUGAUUAUCAUUUAUACUCA